rnacentral:rRNA from 2 species
UACGGAGGAUGCGAGCGUUAUCCGGAUUUAUUGGGUUUAAAGGGUGCGUAGGCGGGUUAUCAAGUCAGCGGUAAAAUCGUGGAGCUCAACUCCAUCCAGCCGUUGAAACUGAUGAUCUUGAGUGGGCGAGAAGUAUGCGGAAUGCGUGGUGUAGCGGUGAAAUGCAUAGAUAUCACGAAGAACUCCGAUUGCGAAGGCAGCUUACCAGUCUGCGACUGACGCUCAGGCACGAAAGUGUGGGUAUCGAACAGG